AAACUUUUUCUUCAAUUUAUGUAUAAAAUUGAAAAUUUUAGAAAAAAAUUAAUUAAAUGAAAUGUACAUGAUUUCCAAUUGAUAUUCUAAGUUGGUUGGUCCCUUCUCAUGAAAGCAAGAGGUUAAGGGUUCAAAUAAUUAAUAGCAAGAAUAAUAUUAGUGUUCCCAGUAUUUGAAUCCUAAGUUCAAUCAAAAUUGACGCGGCAGCACCACAUUAAUUUAAUUACUAAUGUUUAACAUGAUGUUGCAGUUAUAGAUAAGUAACGAUAUAACUUGGAGAGAUUGUCAAUUUCCUCCGGUGUUUUCAUAAUAUCCAAUAAUCUCUUUGGCACAAAAAAAAAUUAAAGAAAAGGAGAGAUAAGUACGUCAUUUGCUUGAUGUUUGAUCUUUGGAAUAUAUGAUAUAUAUUUAGUGCAAGAAAAAAUAUUUAAAAAAGUACAAAAAUAUCUUAUUAGUAAUUU
rnacentral:lncRNA from 1 species